UACGAAGGGGGCUAGCGUUGCUCGGAAUCACUGGGCGUAAAGGGUGCGUAGGCGGGUCUUUAAGUCAGGGGUGAAAUCCUGGAGCUCAACUCCAGAACUGCCUUUGAUACUGAAGAUCUUGAGUUCGGGAGAGGUGAGUGGAACUGCGAGUGUAGAGGUGAAAUUCGUAGAUAUUCGGAAGAACACCAGUGGCGAAGGCGGCCAACUGGCCCGAUACUGACGCUGAGGCGCGAAAGCGUGGGGAGCAAACAGG
rnacentral:rRNA from 1 species